rnacentral:lncRNA from 1 species
UCGGGGGCGUCGGAGUUUUUCGUCAGGUUGGAGGAGCACGGGGCGGCCGUGACGUCAUCGAUGACGUCAUCAAUGACAUCAUCAAUGCCGUCAUCAAUGGCGUCAUCAACGACGUCAUCAACGACUCCAACAAUGACGUCAUUGGGUGUGGCCAAAGAACCGCCCCGCCCGGCGGCGUUGUCACCCCCAGGGGGUGGGGGAGGCGGCAGUGAUGUCAUCAGUGACAUCAUCAGUGACGUCAUCGGCGAUGCCACCGACAGGGAGGUUUUGUCGCCCGAGUGGGGGAGGGGACGGAGGUUGGGCGGGGAGGGGUCGGCACGGGGUCAAGAGAGGUCAACGUUGGGUCAAGAGUGGACAUUGGGCCAAGAGUGGUCAUCAUUAGGUCAAGACCGGACAUCAACCCAGGACCGGCCAUCGUUGACCCAAGAACGGCCAUCGUUGGGUCAUGAGCGGUCAUCAUUAGGUCAAGACCGGACAUUGACCCCGGACCGGUCAUCGUUGGCCCAAGACUCAGCAUUGAGCCAGGACCGGUCAUCGUUGGGUCAAGAGUGGACAUUGACCCCAGACCGGUCGAUAUUGACCCCAGACCGGUCAUCGUUGGGUCAGGACUGGUCAUCGUUGACCCAAACGAGGUCAACGGCCCAAGUGACGUCACCGUUGUCCCUUGAGAUGACCCCGUGGGGUCAGGGCCGGACAUUGACCCCAGAGCGGUCAUCGUUGGGUCAAGAGUGGACAGUGACCCAGGAUUGGUCACCGUUGGGUCAGGACAGGUCACUGUCACCGUUGUCACCGGAGGUGGCGCCUUGGGGACAAAACCGGACAUUGCUGGCCCCAGAGCGGUCACCGUGGGGUCACGAAAGGUCAACGGCCCAAGGGACGUCACUGGAAAUGACCCCAAGGGGUCAAGGCCGGACAUUGACCCCAGACCGGUCACCUUUGACCCCAGACUGGUCAUUCAUGACCCAAAACCGGACACUGACCCCAGACCGGUCACCGUUGACCCAAGAUUGGUCAUCACUGACCCCGGAUCGGUCACCAUUGGGUCAAGACCGGCCAUUGACUCUGGACCGGUCAUCGUUGACCCAAGACCGGUCAUUGAUGGCCCAAGACCGGACAUUGACCCCAGAGCGGUCAGCAUUGACCCCAGACUGGACAUUGGAUCAAGACCGGUCAUCCUCGAGCCAAAACCGGACAUUGACCCCGGACCGGUCAUCGCUGACCCCAGACCGGACAUCGGACCAAGACCGGUCACCGUUGGGUCAGGACCGGUCAUCGUUGUGCCAAACUCGGACAUUGACCCAAGACCGGACAUUGACCCCGGACCGGUCACCUUUGACCCCAGCCCGGUCACCUUUGACCCCAGCCCGCUCCCCGCCCCCGGUGCCCCCCCGGACGUCGCCGUUGUCACCGGCGGUGGCACCGUGGGGACGAGGGACGGCGCCGCUGAGCCC